GACGAACGCUGGCGGCGUGCUUAACACAUGCAAGUCGAACGGAAAGGCCCUGCUUUUGUGGGGUGCUCGAGUGGCGAACGGGUGAGUAACACGUGAGUAACCUGCCCUUGACUUUGGGAGAACUUCAGGAAACUGGGGCUAAUACCGGAUAGGAGCUCCUGCUGCAUGGUGGGGGUUGGAAAGUUUCGGCGGUUGGGGAUGGACUCGCGGCUUAUCAGCUUGUUGGUGGGGUAGUGGCUUACCAAGGCUUUGACGGGUAGCCGGCCUGAGAGGGUGACCGGCCACAUUGGGACUGAGAUACGGCCCAGACUCCUCCGGGAGGCAGCAGUGGGGAAUAUUGCACAAUGGGCCGAAGCCUGAUGCAGCAACGCCGCGUGCGGGAUGACGGCCUUCGGGUUGUAAACCGCUUUCGCCUGUGACGAAGCGUGAGUGACGGUAAUGGGUACAGCAGCACCGGCUAACUACGUG
rnacentral:rRNA from 1 species